UGUCAAAAAAAAAAAAAAAAAAAAAAAAAAAAAAACUCCAAAAAGUAAGUAAAGAGGAGGUUUGGAAUUAGAUAUUUGGUGUAUGAAUGAAUGGGCUAAAGUGCAAAAGAACAGGCAGAAUAACUGAGCUGGUACAGAGGAAAAAAAUCACACUUAAAAUCUAAAAAUAUCUGCUUCUCAAUUUGGGCUUUCCCACUUAGCAGCUUUGGCACCUUAGAAAGAACACUUAACUUACCUGAGCUUCUAUUACUUCUAAAAAGUGCAUAAAGUGCAGGCUAAGACAUAGUUUUUUGGCAAAAUUCAGUCAGACUACAUCAAGUAAACUCCCUAAGUCUCCUAGUAUAAUUCAUGGCACAAAAACUGGGGAAAAAACAGGGAGGAUAUGAUUAUAAGUUCAGUUUGUGUUUUUUGUUGAGUGAAUGUCUCCAGCCAUAGAGAUGCAAGUGUAGAUACACAGUAAGAGUAGUAUGAAUGGCAGACACCUUGGAAGGCUAUUUCUUCCUUCAUUCAUUCAGUUGGUCACUCAAUGAACUAUCAUGAAUUGAGCACUACCUCUGUUUCUUAUCAACAAAGGAGACUACGGAAAAGAAGAGUGACUAAGAUCUCUGAAGAAGGGAAAAGCUAGAUGACUGGGCCACAAGAGGAAAAAAAGCAGCAAGACAGAGAUUUGUUGGUGCCAACUAAAUGAGCCUAACAGCCAGUGACAACAGAACUGCACUAAAAAAAGUCCCUCAUCAGCUCUUGAGAGCAGGUUCCUUAAAGAGAAUGAGUAGCCACUGCUGUUUGCCCUGGCCCAUCAAUGAGAAGAUCUGCUCUUAGAGCCCUGCUUUCCUGCUGAAGGCCCCGAAAUCACCUGUGUUCCAGGCCACCCGCUAACAAUAAAUAAUGCUCCCCUGAUGUGGGGAAUUAGCUCAAGUGGUAGAGCGCUUGCUUAGCAUGCAAGAGGUAGUGGGAUCGAUGCCCACAUUCUCCAAGCUUUAUUAUUUAGACAUCGUGUCUCCAAACACUCAGGUCUCCAAACCCAAGUUAGUGUCUGAGAACAGGAUGCUGCUUUGGUUCAAGACGUAGGAGCAGCAAUAAUAGAGGGCUGGUGAUGGCUCCCUCUUGGCAUUCAGUAUAGUGUAGAUCUACCAUGUAAUUAAUUCUCUGUUUCUUUGAGGAGCUGUGAAACCAAGGGACAUAUACAACUGCUCUUUUCUCCCUGUUUCUACCUGCAGCUUUGUCCUAAAUGUGAGACAAUUAUGAAAAGUGCAGGGCAGAGCCACUUGGGUAAAUACAGCCCCGGCUUUCUGCUCAGGGGACAGAGUUUGAGGCACUGCAGAGGAACCAGCCAAAGUAUGAGACCCAUAUGUUGAGAGUGACAGUGUAAAGUUCAAAAAAAUCAAAAUGUUUAAAGAUUUAUCAUGGGUCUUGAUGACAUGAUGGAAUCUCUCUACUCUCUGGACUGAUUAUGUGUGGUAAUAAAUUUACUUUUUAAAAGCCA
rnacentral:tRNA from 1 species